rnacentral:rRNA from 1 species
GACGAACGCUGGCGGCGUGCUUAACACAUGCAAGUCGAGCGGUAAGGCCCUUUCGGGGGUACACGAGCGGCGAACGGGUGAGUAACACGUGGGUGACCUGCCCUCAGCUCUGGGAUAAGCCCGGGAAACUGGGUCUAAUACCGGAUAUGACUCCACGGUGCAUGUCGUGGGGUGGAAAGCCUUGUGCGGCUGAGGAUGGGCCCGCGGCCUAUCAGCUUGUUGGUGGGGUGAUGGCCACCAAGGCGACGACGGGUAGCCGGCCUGAGAGGGCGACCGGCCACACUGGGACUGNGACACGGCCCAGACUCCUACGGGAGGCAGCAGUGGGGAAUCUUGCGCAAUGGGCGAAAGCCUGACGCAGCGACGCCGCGUGAGGGAUGACGG